rnacentral:rRNA from 1 species
GACGAACGCUGGCGGCGUGCUUAACACAUGCAAGUCGAACGAAGUGGCGAACGGGUGAGUAACGCGUAAUCAACCUGCCCUUCAGAGGGGGACAACAGUUGGAAACGACUGCUAAUACCGCAUACUGAAGGAGGGGAUUGCGUCUGAUUAGCUAGUUGGAGGGGUAACGGCCCACCAAGGCGAGGAUCAGGAGCCGGUCUGAGAGGAUGAACGGCCAAAGUGGGACGUAGACACGGCCCAGAAUCCUACGGGAGGCAGCAGUGGGGAAUCUUUCGAAAUGGAGGAAAGUCUGACGGAGCAACGCCGCGGGAGUGAUGACGGCCUUCGGGUUGUAAAGCUCUGUUAAUCGGGACGCGGUACCGGAAUAGAAAGCCACGGCUAACUACGUGCCAGCAGCCGCGGUAAUAC